GGCGACCGGCGAAUGGGUGAGUACACGUUAUCCACCUGGCCCGCACUCGGGGACAGCCUUUCGAAAGAAAGAUUAUACCCGAUGCGCCGCGUUCCCACAUGGGAUUGCGGUCAAAGAUUCAUCGGUGCGGGAUGGGGAUGCGCCUGAUUAGGCAGUUGGCGGGGUAACGGCCCACCAAACCGACGAUCAGUAGGGGUUCUGAGAGAGAAGGUCCCCCCACAUUGGAACUGAGACACGGUCCAAACUCCUACGGGAGGCAGCGGUGAGGAAUAUUGGUCAAUGGGCGGAAGCCUGAACCAGCCAAGUAGCGUGCAGGACGACGGCCCUCUGGGUUGUAAACUGCUUUUGUGCGGGGGUAAAGUGACCCACGUGUGGGUUAUUGCAAGUACCGCACGAAUAAGCAUCGGCUAACUCCGUGCCAGCAGCCGCGGUAAUACGGAGGAUGCGAGCGUUAUCCGGAUUUAUUGGGUUUAAAGGGAGCGUAGGUGGCCGGUUAAGUCAGUUGUGAAAAGCAGGUGCUCAACAUCUGCCUUGCAGUUGAAACUGUCCGGCUUGAGCGUGUGAGAGGCAGGCGGAAUUCGUGGUGUAGCGGUGAAAUGCUUAGAUAUCACGAAGAACUCCGAUUGCGAAGGCAGCUUGCUGGCCCACGUCUGACACUAAUGCUCGAAAGUGCGGGUAUCGAACAGGAUUAGAUACCCUGGUAGUCCGCACAGUAAACGAUGAAUACUCGCUGUUUGCGAUAGAAUGUAAGCGGCCAAGCGAAAGCGUUAAGUAUUCCACCUGGGGAGUACGCCGGCAACGGUGAAACUCAAAGGAAUUGACGGGGGCCCGCACAAGCGGAGGAACAUGUGGUUUAAUUCGAUGAUACGCGAGGAACCUUACCCGGGCUUGAAUUGCAUACGACGUGCGCGGAGACGCGCAUCCCCCAAAGGG
rnacentral:rRNA from 1 species